rnacentral:rRNA from 1 species
UACGUAGGGGGCAAGCGUUGUCCGGAUUUAUUGGGCGUAAAGAGCGUGUAGGCGGUUUGGUAGGUCCGCUGUGAAAACUCGAGGCUCAACCUCGAGACGCCGGUGGAAACCAUCAGGCUAGAGUCCGGAAGAGGAGAGUGGAAUUCCUGGUGUAGCGGUGAAAUGCGCAGAUAUCAGGAAGAACACCCGUGGCUAAGGCGGCUCUCUAGUACGGUACUGACGCUGAGACGCGAAAGAGUGGGGAGCGAACAGG